GAUGAACGCUGGCGGCGUGCCUAAUACAUGCAAGUCGAGCGAACGGACGAGAAGCUUGCUUCUCUGAUGUUGGCGGCGGACGGGUGAGUAACACGUGGAUAACCUACCUAUAAGACUGGGAUAACUUCGGGAAACCGGAGCUAAUACCGGAUAAUAUUUUGAACCGCAUGGUUCAAAAGUGAAAGACGGUCUUGCUGUCACUUAUAGAUGGAUCCGCGCUGCAUUAGCUAGUUGGUAAGGUAACGGCUUACCAAGGCAACGAUGCAUAGCCGACCUGAGAGGGUGAUCGGCCACACUGGAACUGAGACACGGUCCAGACUCCUACGGGAGGCAGCAGUAGGGAAUCUUCCGCAAUGGGCGAAAGCCUGACGGAGCAACGCCGCGUGAGUGAUGAAGGUCUUCGGAUCGUAAAACUCUGUUAUUAGGGAAGAACAUAUGUGUAAGUAACUGUGCACAUCUUGACGGUACCUAAUCAGAAAGCCACGGCUAACUACGUGCCAGCAGCCGCGGUAAUACGUAGGUGGCAAGCGUUAUCCGGAAUUAUUGGGCGUAAAGCGCGCGUAGGCGGUUUUUUAAGUCUGAUGUGAAAGCCCACGGCUCAACCGUGGAGGGUCAUUGGAAACUGGAAAACUUGAGUGCAGAAGAGGAAAGUGGAAUUCCAUGUGUAGCGGUGAAAUGCGCAGAGAUAUGGAGGAACACCAGUGGCGAAGGCGACUUUCUGGUCUGUAACUGACGCUGAUGUGCGAAAGCGUGGGGAUCAAACAGGAUUAGAUACCCUGGUAGUCCACGCCGUAAACGAUGAGUGCUAAGUGUUAGGGGGUUUCCGCCCCUUAGUGCUGCAGCUAACGCAUUAAGCACUCCGCCUGGGGAGUACGACCGCAAGGUUGAAACUCAAAGGAAUUGACGGGGACCCGCACAAGCGGUGGAGCAUGUGGUUUAAUUCGAAGCAACGCGAAGAACCUUACCAAAUCUUGACAUCCUUUGACAACUCUAGAGAUAGAGCUUUCCCCUUCGGGGGACAAAGUGACAGGUGGUGCAUGGUUGUCGUCAGCUCGUGUCGUGAGAUGUUGGGUUAAGUCCCGCAACGAGCGCAACCCUUAAGCUUAGUUGCCAUCAUUAAGUUGGGCACUCUAAGUUGACUGCCGGUGACAAACCGGAGGAAGGUGGGGAUGACGUCAAAUCAUCAUGCCCCUUAUGAUUUGGGCUACACACGUGCUACAAUGGACAAUACAAAGGGCAGCGAAACCGCGAGGUCAAGCAAAUCCCAUAAAGUUGUUCUCAGUUCGGAUUGUAGUCUGCAACUCGACUACAUGAAGCUGGAAUCGCUAGUAAUCGUAGAUCAGCAUGCUACGGUGAAUACGUUCCCGGGUCU
rnacentral:rRNA from 1 species